AUUAAUAAGGCCUGUAAUACUAUGAGAAGGAAAUGGUGGCAAUUGGCAAAUGGAACUCUGUUGCUUGGUAACAAAACCUGAGAAAUAAUCAAAACCCUCUGCACUCACUCAGAAGUGUCCAUAAGUCCUGUUCAAGUAAUCUUAAAAGAGACUGUUCCAAUAUUCGAUCUGCCUCGUUCAACAAGGCAAAAAGGUGAGGAAGCAGAGAAUUAUUUUUGAAUGGCUACUGCUUAAAGAGUUGCCUGCGUGAGGUUUGGUGGCAAGAAGCAGAAGUCAGAGCCUGUGGUUCCUGUUGCUCUUCGGCGGUAUGAAAGAGAGAAGAAGGCGUGCUUCAUUAUAUGAAGCUUUGCUCCUAAGGUACAACUCUUGUAGACCUCCCGGACUCACCCAAUUUCCUCAUAGGCUUUUGCAUUAUCUUAAAAGAUGUUUCCCUUAGUAAUAUGGAGGAGACAAAAUCAAUAAUGUGCAAUACAUUUAAUCAACACGAAAACCUGAUUCUAUCAGGAGAACAGAUUAAAGGAGUCUUGCUUAGACUCCAGGGUAAUUGACAGUUUUUCUGCCUUAUAUGUGGAAUGAUUAUAACAAGUUGUAAUUCAGAUAAUGAACUUCUUAAUGCAGGAAGUUCUUCAUUCAGGAAAUAGAAGUUGGUGAAAUUGAAACAAAUUUAUUAAGUAAAUAAAGGGAAAAGCACAAAAUACUUAGUGGCUAGAGUAUUAUCAAUUGUAAAGAAGAUUUGGAAUAGAACAGUUAGGGAGCUAUAAUUCUUCAGUUUUUAUACUGUUCUACCACUCUAGUAUGUUGCUAUAAUUCUCUGAAUUAAUUUUUUUAAAAAUACAACAGCUGUCUGGAGAAACCAAUUUGAUCUCACUUUUAUUUUAUUUUUUAAAUGCAUUUGAUUAUGUAUA
rnacentral:lncRNA from 1 species